rnacentral:rRNA from 1 species
AACCUGGUUGAUCCUGCCAGUAGUCAUAUGCUUGUCUCAAAGAUUAAGCCAUGCAUGUCUAAGUGUAAAUAGCUCUAUACUGUGAAACUGCGAAUGGCUCAUUAAAUCAGUUAUCGUUUAUUUGAUGAUCCCUAAUUACUCGGAUACCCGUAGUAAUUCUAGAGCUAAUACAUGCACUACAAUUCCCGAACUUCGGGAAAGGGAUGUAUUAAUUAAAAUACAAGACCCAAUGCGCUUGCGGCGGAUGAUCGGUGAUUCAUAAUAACUUUGCGAAUCGUAUGGCCUCGUGUCGACGAUGAAUCAUUCAAAUUUCUGCCCUAUCAACUUUCCGAUGGUAGGAUAAGAGGCCUACCAUGGUGGUUAACGGGUAACGGAGAAUUAGGGUUCGAUUCCCCGAAAAGGAACCUGAAAAACCACGCCCCCCCCCCUCCCAAGGAAAGGCCUGCCAGCCCCCCUCCAAUUUUAC